rnacentral:rRNA from 1 species
GGCCUGGAAUAACACGAGGAAACUUGUGCUAAUACCGGAUAAGUCUUUACGGAGAAAGCUUUAUGCACCAUUGGAUGAGCCUGCACUUGAUUAGUUUGUUGGUGGGGUAAUGGCCUACCAAGACUUUGAUCAAUAGCUGAUUUGAGAGGAUGAUCAGCCACAUUGGGACUGAGACACGGCCCAAACUCCUACGGGAGGCAGCAGUGGGGAAUCUUGCACAAUGGAGGAAACUCUGAUGCAGCGAUGCCGCGUGAGUGAAGAAGGCCUUUGGGUUGUAAAGCUCUUUCGUCGGGGAAGAAAAUGACUGUACCCGAAUAAGAAGGUCCGGCUAACUUCGUGCCAGCAGCCGCGGUAAUACGAAGGGACCUAGCGUAGUUCGGAAUUACUGGGCUUAAAGAGUUCGUAGGUGGUUGAAAAAGUUGGUGGUGAAAUCCCAGAGCUUAACUCUGGAACUGCCAUCAAAACUUUUCAGCUAGAGUUUGAUAGAGGAAAGCAGAAUUUCUAGUGUAGAGGUGAAAUUCGUAGAUAUUAGAAAGAAUACCAAUUGCGAAGGCAGCUUUCUGGAUCAUUACUGACACUGAGGAACGAAAGCAUGGGUAGCGAAGAGGAUUAGAUACCCUCGUAGUCCAUGCCGUAAACGAUGUGUGUUAGACGUUGGAAAUUUAUUUUCAGUGUCGCAGCGAAAGCGAUAAACACACCGCCUGGGGAGUACGACCGCAAGGUUAAAACUCAAAUGAAUUGACGGGGACCCGCACAAGUAGUGGAGCAUGUGGUUUAAUUCGAAGAUACGCGCAGAACCUUACCAACACUUGACAUGUUCGUCGCGACUUUAAGAGAUUAAAGUUUUCGGUUCGGCCGGACGAAACACAGGUGCUGCAUGGCUGUCGUCAGCUCGUGUCGUGAGAUGUUGGGUUAAGUCCCGCAACGAGCGCAACCCUCACUU